GAGCUAAAGUCAAGCUCAUUUGUUUGCAGGAUUAUUGGGAAGUCAGAGUCCCUGGCUCAGAGCAGAGAAGGCAGCAGCCUGCUCCUUUUGUUGAGAACUAUGCUAUGGGGAGCACAGGCUCCGGCACGUGCGCGUGUGUUUGUGUGUGUGUGUACAUUCCUAGGAAAGAGAGAGGAACGUGAAAGCCUUGUUCCGAAGCCUGAGGACCCUGACUGUGUAGCUGUGACCCUUCAGCUUCCACCCUUGCCCCACGCAUGACCCAGUUUGGUUGGACCCCAGCCUGAUGGGGUAGGGAGCUUUGCUACUUUCUCAGUGUGAACAAAUGAUUUCUUCUUUCAGGGUUCACCUACUCCUGGACUCUCAGGUGUUAAGACCACAAAAGACCCAAGACCUGAGCCAUGACUGGAGAAGCUGCACUGAAAUUUUCCAGAAGGACCUGAAGAAAAUGCUCUCUAGAACUCCAGCCCAUCUGUGUCGCGUGUCUACAGUGCUUCCAUUGGUGGUGUUACUGGACUGGGUUUGUUUUGGCCAAUUGCACAGCAAGCCGAAAGCUGAGACAUGGAGGUUUGUAGCCAGUCACGGAAACAGGAGAAGCAUCUCACAUCACCUCCCCAAAGACAACGGCCUUGGGGUAUUUACUGGAUAAAGAAUAGAGCAGCAGGGCGGUUUGGCUUGAGGGGAGCAUGGGGAGAGGUGAUUGGAAAAUGGGAGAGUUGCGUUUUUGCACAGGUGUAACUACACUAAACGCCUCCACAAGAUCGAAAGGGCUGGGAAGACGCUGGCGCAUGCCCAGUGGAAGGGUUGGUGGUCCUAUCUGGUCUUAACCAGCUCAGUUUGAACUGGAUGAAGCGGAAUCUGAGUUCCUGGGAAACAACCCUGGCGAACAUUUUACUGUCCAGGCCAUGUGCCACUUGGAGGGCAGUUGAGUCUUAACCUGGAUCAGUAAAGGCAGGUGAAUUGGAUUUAUUCCACGGUGGGUACACAGAGGCAUCGCCAGGCCAGACAAGCACCUCGGAAGGUGGAGACGACUGUGAUCCUUCGAUACGUUGGCCCUGUCACCGCAGAAAGAGCAGUGUCGGGACAGUCGUGCAAGGUCAGUGCGAGUCUGGGAGAGCGUGCCUGCCCGCUGGGCUCAGUGGGGAUUCACGGAGGGGUGAGUGAGAGAUGCCAGGGGGGCCAAGGGGACGCCCUGGCCGAGCCCUUAGGCUGUGCCAAGGCACAGAGGCCCAGUGGGGCAAGGGAGGAGCUUGGGGAGUGGUGCCCCGCAGCUAUUGCUCCUAAAGAGAGAGCGCUCCAGGGUCCAGGGGGCUCUGGCCAGCUCGCGUGGGGCUGGGGGAGGAGGUCAAGGCCGGGCCCACGGAAUCUGCCUGCACCUUGGUUUGUUCUUCAAAAGAAGAAAAAAACAGCCUGGUUUGGGGUUUGCUUUGGUGGCUAAGUGGCGGUGAGGGCUUUGCCCAGCCAGUUGACCACCCCCCACCCCGCCCUGGGCCUCCGUUUCCCCCUCUGUAUACAGGGUCAUGACUUAAACUGUGUUUAGCUCAGCAUCACAUAGAGAUGUUAAAUGCUGAUUCCUGGGCCCCAUCCCCAGAGGUUCUGAGUCCUCAGAGCCUGGGUAACGAGGGCCCCAGGGGCUUCUACUGCAGGUG
rnacentral:lncRNA from 1 species